CGUGUGUGAAGAAGGCCUUAUGCGUUGUAAAGCACUUAAUGCGACGAGGACGUGCUACUUAAGAUAAUACCUAGAGAUAGUGGACGUUACUCGCAGAAUAAGCACCGGCUAACUCUGUGCCAGCAGCCGCGGUAAUACAGAGGGUGCAAGCGUUAAUCGGAUUUACUGGGCGUAAAGCGCGCGUAGGCGGCUAAUUAAGUCAAAUGUGAAAUCCCCGAGCUUAACUUGGGAAUUGCAUUCGAUACUGGUUAGCUAGAGUGUGGGAGAGGAUGGUAGAAUUCCAGGUGUAGCGGUGAAAUGCGUAGAGAUCUGGAGGAAUACCGAUGGCGAAGGCAGCCAUCUGGCCUAACACUGACGCUGAGGUGCGAAAGCAUGGGGAGCAAACAGGAUUAGAUACCCUGGUAGUCCAUGCCGUAAACGAUGUCUACUAGCCGUUGGGGCCUUUGAGGCUUUAGUGGCGCAGCUAACGCGAUAAGUAGACCGCCUGNGGAGUACCGGUCGCAAGACUAAAACUCAAAUGAAUUGACGGGGGCCCGCACAAGCGGUGGAGCAUGUGGGUUAAUUCGAUGCAACGCGA
rnacentral:rRNA from 1 species